CGUAGGGUGCAAGCGUUAAUCGGAAUUACUGGGGCGUAAAGCGUGCGCAGGCGGUUAUAUAAGACAGAUGUGAAAUCCCCGGGCGUCAACCUGGGAACGUGCAUUUGUUGACUGUAUAGCUAGAGUACGGCAGAGGGGGAGUGGAAUUCCGCGUGUAGCAGUGAAAUGCGUAGAUAUGCGGAGGAACACCGAUGGCGAAGGCAAUCCCUGGGCCUGUACUGACGCUCAUGCACGAAAGCGUGGGGAGGACAAACAGGAUU
rnacentral:rRNA from 1 species